rnacentral:rRNA from 1 species
AUUGAACGCUGGCGGCAGGCUUAACACAUGCAAGUCGACGUAAGUGGCGGACGGGUGAGUAAUGCUUGGGAAUCUGCCUGGUAGUGGGGGAUAACGUCCGGAAACGGGCGCUAAUACCGCAUACUAUCAGAUGAGCCUAGGUCGGAUUAGCUAGUUGGUGGGGUAAAGGCCUACCAAGGCGACGAUCCGUAACUGGUCUGAGAGGAUGAUCAGGCACACUGGAACUGAGACACGGUCCAGACGCCUACGGGAGGCAGGAGUGGGGAAUAUUGGACAAGGGGCGAAAGCCUGAUGCAGCCAUGCCGCGUGUGUGAAGAAGGUCUUCGGAUUGUAAAGCACUUUAAGUUGGGAGGCGUUACCAACAGAAUAAGCACCGGCUAACUUCGUGCCAGCAGCCGCGGUAAUAC